CCUACGUGUGGCAGCAGUGGGGAAUCUUCCGCAAUGGACGAAAGUCUGACGGAGCAACGCCGCGUGAGUGAUGACGGCCUUCGGGUUGUAAAGCUCUGUUAAUCGGGACGAAAGGCCUUCUUGCGAAUAGUUAGAAGGAUUGACGGUACCGGAAUAGAAAGCCACGGCUAACUACGUGCCAGCAGCCGCGGUAAUACGUAGGUGGCAAGCGUUGUCCGGAAUUAUUGGGCGUAAAGCGCGCGCAGGCGGAUUGGUCAGUCUGUCUUAAAAGUUCGGGGCUUAACCCCGUGAUGGGAUGGAAACUGCCAAUCUAGAGUAUCGGAGAGGAAAGUGGAAUUCCUAGUGUAGCGGUGAAAUGCGUAGAUAUUAGGAAGAACACCAGUGGCGAAGGCGACUUUCUGGACGAAAACUGACGCUGAGGCGCGAAAGCCAGGGGAGCGAACGGGAUUAGAUACCCCAGUAGUC
rnacentral:rRNA from 1 species